GAUGAACGCUGGCGGCGUGCCUAAUACAUGCAAGUCGAGCGGACGGACGAUAAGCUUGCUGCUCUGAUGUUAGCGGCAGACGUGUGUGUAACACGUGGAUAACCUACCUAUCAUACUGGGAUCACUUCGGGACACCGGCGCUAAUACCGUAUAAUCUCUUGAACCGCAUGGUUCAAUAGUGAAAGACGGUCUUUCUGUCUCUUAUAGCUGGAUACCCGCUGCAUUAGAUGGUUGUUAAGGUAACGGCUUACCAAGGCAACGAUGCAUAGCCGACCUGAGAGGCGGAUAGGCCACAUGGGAACUGAACCAGGGUCAAGACUCCUAAGGGAGGAAGCAGUAUGGAAUCGUCCGCAACGGGCGAAAGCCUUACGGAGUAAGGGCGAGCGAGUUACGACGGCCUUGGGAGCGUAAAACCCGGUUUUUAGGUAAGAACAUAUUUGUCAGGAACUGUGCAGAGCGUGACGGUACCUAGUCAGAAAGCAACGGCUAACUACGUG
rnacentral:rRNA from 1 species